GUCCCCAUAGCUCAGUGGAUAGAGCGUCGUCUUGCGGAGCCGAAGGCCGGAGGUUCAAAUCCUCCUGGGGACG
rnacentral:tRNA from 1 species